rnacentral:rRNA from 1 species
UCCGUAGGCGGUUUUGUAAGUCAGUGGUGAAAUCUGGUCGCUUAACGAUCAAACGGCCAUUGAUACUGCAGGACUUGAAUUACCAGGAAGUAACUAGAAUAUGUAGUGUAGCGGUGAAAUGCUUAGAUAUUACAUGGAAUACCAAUUGCGAAGGCAGGUUACUACUGGUUUAUUGACGCUGAUGGACGAAAGCGUGGGGAGCGAACAG